GACGAACGCUGGCGGUGUGCCUCAAACAUGCAAGUCGAGGGAGGGUUGGCGUCUGGCUUGCCAGACGUUCAACUCUACCGGCGAACGGGUGAGUAACACGUGGGCAAUCUGCCCUGAAGACGGGGACAACCUCGGGAAACCGUGGCUAAUACCCGAUAUCCUCCUUGGGGGGCAUCCCCUAGGAAGGAAAGGUCCGCAAGGUCCGCUUCAGGAGGAGCCCGCGGCCUAUCAGCUUGUUGGUGGGGUCACGGCCUACCAAGGCUAUGACGGGUAGCUGGUCUGAGAGGACGAUCAGCCACACUGGGACUGAGACACGGCCCAGACUCCUACGGGAGGCAGCAGUUGGGAAUUUUGGGCAAUGGGCGCAAGCCUGACCCAGCGACACCGCGU
rnacentral:rRNA from 1 species